AUAACGUAGGGGAAAUACCAGUGACAUUUAAGUAACAUUUAAGUGAGCACCUCACUCUUUUAAAACGAAUAUGUUUCAGAUUCUUUUAGUAACAUUCGCAUUUCUUUGUCAUUCUUACGCAGCGGAUGACCAAAAAUGCAAGUAUGGUACAUUCCGUUGCCCGGAACGGCCGGUUUCUUGCCCCGUAAACGAAACUUUUCUUCCAAUAGGACCUUGUUCAUGUAGCUGUCGCGUUUGCAAGCCCAUUGUCCCAGUUGGAAGAGAAGGAGGGCCAUGUACUGUUUUUAGGUUUCGAGAUACGGGAAUGUGCGACAAAGGAUUAUUUUGUUGUGACGAUGUGUGCGUCAAAGGAGAAUAUUGUUGCGUGAAAUAGAGGUUUGAUUGUACCAGCAUACUUGCUAUUUAUACAAAUAAAUAAAAUUAUUUUUGUGACUGUGCAUGCAUGUAUUUGUUUUUUUCAGGUUGUAAACCUGACAUUACCUUGCGGAACACUCAAAUUUACUAUUUCGAGAGAAACUAAAUAGAAACAGGACUUUAUAUACAUCUUUUGCUCAAUAAAAAUUAGGAAAGGCGAAGAUUACAUCAUUUCAAUUUAAUAACUAACGGAACAGUACUUUAUUCAUUUCAUUUACUUAUAAUUGUUGUUUUUUUCGAUGUAUAGAACUUUAAUUUGGCAUUACUGUUCACGAUGGCGACCGAUUUAACAGCUGUCAAGUGAUUUAUUCUCAGCUUAGUUUGGCAAUUCACCAUGAAUGGACUCACGCCUGAACAACGCUUGCAAAUAGAGCAAUUUUAUUUCGAAAAUAAUGGUUCUGUGCGGAAUACGUAUCGCGCACUACGUGCAUUUUAUCGUCGACAAAAUCGCCCAUCAGAGCAGUUAAUUCGAUCAACCAUGGAACGUUUUCGCACCACGUUUACUCUUAUUGAUAACUUGCAUCCCCAGAGACGCCGUAUGGUGCAUACAGAAGAAGCUAUUGCUGCUGUACAGCGUAGCAUUGAGGAAGACCCGAAUGAGUUCAUCCGCCAUCGAACACAGGAAUUGGAUCUGUUUCCAUCCACUUUAUGGAAGAUUUUGCGGAAGGAUCUUAGUUUACGUGCUUACAAAAUCCAACCUGUGCAAGAAUUGAAGCCAAACGAUCAUCAAGUAAGGCGUAGAUUCGUCGAAUGGGCCCAAAACGAGAUUGCCGUCAUUCCCGAUUUUCAUAAGCGAAUUUUGUUUAGCGAUGAAGCGUACUUCUGGUGGAAUGGCGAAGCUAAUCCUCAAGUGUAUGUCGAAACACCGUUACAUCCAGAAAAACUGACUGGUACGCUUUAUGAGCUGGUGGAAUUAUUGGUCCGUACUUCUUCAAAAACGAUGAUGGCCAGAACGUUUCAUUCAAUGGUGAUCGGUAUAGAGCUAUGAUUACUAACUCUUUCAUUCCUGAAUUGAAUAACCAUGAUGUCCAGGAGAUGUGGUUUCAACAAGACGGCGCAAUAUGUCUGACAGCUCGGGCCACAAUCGAUUUAUUGAAAGACACAAAAAAUAAUAGAAAACCGCUAAUUAGGAUGAGUAGAACUGGUAUAGAUAGCGCUAAGAAUUAUUGAUGUUUAACAAAAAAAAGACUGAUCGUUAACGCAUCUAACAUCAGGGCUGUUAGUGCUCUCCCGAUCUUCAUAUUUUUCGUAAAUAAAGCUUUCUCCCAUCAUAAAGGGUGUAGCAGACUAAUAUUUUGCUGAGGUGGAAAUGGUAACUAGUAACUAAAAUUGAACCCGACCUAGUAUUGUUUUUCAUAAUGUUUAGUUAGGUCAUGUUAUUCAACGCUUUUCUGAAAACAACGCGUCUUAUCGGUAAAUAGGAAUCGCUUUAUUUUGUUGUCGGAUCCAUUUGAUGUAGUAGCGCACUCACAUAUAAAAUAGCUGAUAACGGGCGUAUACGUACUUAUAAAUAGGGGGGUUCAGGAAAACCUUAGCGAGUUUACCGCUUGAAUCCACAUAUCUUCAACAUGAGGGGUGUACUUUUAGUGACGUUUGCUUUGUUUUGCACUAUAUACACCCAAGAAGAAAGCGAAAUUUGUAAAGGCAAAUCUUUUGAAUGUACACCGCAACCUCAUUCUUGUCCGGUGAAUCAAACUUUAGUUCCCACAAGUUGUUCCUGUGGUUGCAAAACGUGCAAACCUAAACCGCAAUUUGGUGGACUUGGAUCAUCGUGUAUCGUCUUAUAUUUCCGAGGUUUUCCGACUUCAACUUGCAAACGCGGCUUAAUCUGCUGUGAUCAUGUUUGCGUCGAACCAAAGCAUUGUUGUUGAACUUCAAGAUAUGGCAAUUCUAUUUUUGUAUAUAUUAUAUAUAAAUAUAUAAUGGAGCUGAUAUUUGUUUAAAUAAACUUUUGUUUUCCAAA